UUUUUUUUCCAAGUAAAUUUUUUGUUAAUGGAAUUUGGUCUUGCUGCUGCUGCUCUUGUUCAGUCUGAAAUGCUUGUGUCAUAAAACGUAAAUCUUUAAUAUGUGGAAAAGUCAUACAAUGUUAAGUAGGUGUAUAAAGACAAAAAACUAACAAUAAUUGUUUGCUGUUGGUCAGCAAAGCUGUUCAUUUAAAAAGUAACUUUAUGUCCUUAAAGCUGAAGCAUGAAUUAUGAAAUUCAGGUACCGAGCUUUAGGUACUAAACUUUUUUUAGUUGGUAAUAUCGCAGGUUUUUGUGAGGAUGUACAAAGAAAAAUUGUCUUUUUUCUAGUAGAUGUGAAAUAAUGUCAUCCUUUUCAACCUGUUUUAGGGUAAUGAUCCACUAUGUAAUAAUAAUAAAGAUUAAAAGCAUAUUUUUAUGAAAUAAUCCCAGUUAAUGAGCUUGGGCUGCCUGUAGUCAGUGUCCUGAGAUUAAAAUCUUUGUUGUGUGUGUAUGUGUGUUUUAUUAAAAUAGUCAAAACAAGGUACUAACCUAAACAUGUGACGACUAAAGCAGCAAAAUAACAGAAGCAAAGUCGAAACUGAAUCUCUUGGCAGCUAUUAAGAAGUCAAACUGAAAUUCAUAUCCUUAAAGCUUUAACUCUACCUUGGGUUGGUUUUAUUUUUUGUUUUCGUUUUAAUUUCACCUUUUUUAAGCACCACCAGUGGUUGAUUAACAAUGUAAUUUGCACCCUAAAAACCACGCAAAGCCAAACUUGAACUCAAAGCAGACAUGGACCAGAGUUUGUAGAACAAAUCUAUUUUAUUGCUGUUUUUUAUAUAUAUAUGUUUUAAAUAGAACACAAUCAUUUUACCUUGUGUGCCUCUUGUUUUUUUACUGCCUUUUAUCUAUUUAUCUGUGUUUGCAGUUAAUAUUUGGUAAAUGUGUUGCUGUUUAACAAAACCUGUGAUUUUGGUUUUACUGUGGAAGUAAAAAAGUAUUGUUUGAAC